AAGCCGGGGGGGGGGGGGAGGGGGAUUGAGCGUGGGUUACCGUACGCGAUACUGUUGGUGUUAUGGUGUUGGCCACGAUUAAAAUUGACAUACUUUUGAGGGCGAGAGAGAUACAGAGAGCGCGAGGAAGAGGGUUUGAGAGUCGGGUUUGCAGUGGGCUGAGAGGGUUGGAGCGUUUUGGAACGAGUAAGUGGGUUUAUGCGCUAUUGGGUCGAGGAGAUUGUGGCGGGAAGUUGGUUCUGAAGAGCGGGAGGUUUGCGGGAGUGCGCUGGUCGGAAGUGCCGGAGUUGAGAUGCUGUUGAGGGUAGGGAAGGGGGUUUGGGACGGCCGCGUGACAUUGAAGUAGCUAUAGCUGGUAACAAGUGAAAACAUCAUACGCCAUAAUUACGUAACACCUUUUUCCAAAAAGCGGGUAACCAUGAGUCUGGGGUGUCUGGCAUGCAAUUCCUCUACACAGUCUUUCCGGAUAGACUAGACGUUUCAAAGGUCGUUGUCUACUCACUCGGAAGAAGGCGGUGCCUGUCUGAUAGGAUGCUUUGCACGAAGGCCCGUUCAUCAUCAUACGUCAGCAGAGCCAACGCAUCCUCAGGGUUCUAGGGUUGCUCCAAUAUCCGACACUGAGUGUGCACCCAGGUUGACCCGGUGUUAUGCGAUUCGCAGAGAUUGUACAUUUUUCAGGGAUUGGUCGUUUAACGAAGUUGAAACAGCCACCCUAGUUGGUUAGAUUUCCAACGAAAGUAGUUAGAGGAAAAUGUUAUAGUUUCUGUAUGUUGAAACUGUUUGAUGGUAUGGUUUGAGUGAUCAGCGGUGAGAUGCCGUUUCUCACUGGAGACUUUCAUGGCUGGGGCACGUUGAGUGUUCUGGGUGAGCCUUUGCUGGGAGAUUCUUUUCUUUGCGCUAUUUAACGGGUGUGCAUUCCGUCCUUAUUAGUGGAAAAAGGCUGGGUUUCUUGUGACACUAGAUGCAAUCUUAGUAGUGUGUUGUAUUGAGGGGCGUUUUUGAAGGGAGUGGCAAGCAUUUAGGUAUUCUUCCGAGCGCUGUAUUGCAACUGUACUAUAUUCAUAUGUAAUUUAUAUAAGUUGUCAUUUUAAGAUGCUUUUGCUUAA